GGCUCCCCGCAGCUAAGAAAUCACGGGCGGUCUGACCUGCACAAUGACUUAAGGGAUUAAAUUGCCGCGGUACCCUGACCGUGCAAAGGUAGCGUAAUCAAUAGCCUAUUAAUUGUUGGCCUGUAUGAAUGGUUUGACGCUGGUGGCUCUGUCUCUGCAACAGUAAUUUGAAAUUAACCUCUAGGUGAAAAGGCCUAGAUAGCCCUGAAAGACGAUAAGACCCUGUCGAACUUUGGGUAGACUCUUAAACCGAGGUGUCGCGAUAUCUCGAUAAAGGAUAAACCUUUGGUUGGGGCAACCGGGGACUAAGAAAAACGCCCCCCCUCCUUCUCUCAGUUAACACCCGUUAUGUGAGAGGCAGAAUGGCUCUGCCUCUAGGGCAUCGGCUUCAGGAAAGGAACCUCCUUACUGGAAAAAGGUCUGACAAGACAUUUGUAGCUUGUAGAAUGAUCCUAAAGACCCCCAAAAGGGAAUCUAGCACUUGGGAAGAGUUACCACAGGGAUAACAGCGUUAUCCCCCUGGCGAGACCACAUUAAUGGGGGGGUUUGCGACCUCGAUGUUGGCUCAGGGCGUCCUAAGGGCGAAGAGGCUCUUAAGGGUUGGUCUGUUCGACCAUUAAAGCCUUACGU
rnacentral:rRNA from 1 species